rnacentral:lncRNA from 1 species
GAAAAAAGAAUCCUCCCACCUCAUGCCUUUUUUUUUUUCUGAUGCCAGGAAUUAGUAUUCAUUGCCUCUUUAAGAGGCCAAUGCAAAAAAAGGUAGAAAAAGCCCUAGCCCAGGAGUUGGGAUUGCCAGUUGUAGUCCCUGGGUUGCCUUGCUGGGGGUGCCUAAGUCAGUGCCAUAACCUCAGUUUUUCUAAUCUGUGUAACAUGGGGAUAGAGUAUAUGAUUUCCAAGGUCACUUUCACCUCUGUGAUUGAGCCUCUAAGAAAGCCAAAUCUUUUCACUUUGUAAUCAUGACAUUUUUAAAAGAUGGAGUUAAUAUGAAUGGGAAACUUUUUUUUUUUUGAGCCAGGGACUUGCUAUGUUGCCCAGGCUGGUCUUGAACUCCUGAACUCAAGUGAUCCUCUCACCUCAGCCUCUCAAAUAGCUGAGACUACAGGCACACACCACUGCACCUGGCUAAAGACUAUAUUCUUAAAGAAUAAAAGUACUGCACUUCACCUCUAUCUCCUGGUAUCUCUUCAAUUCAAACACACCAUUAAUGACUACAAUAUUUUAUUUAAGUAAUAACUCAAUUUCAAAAAAAUUGCAGAAAAGCCUAUUAAAAGAAAAAAAAAACCAUGAGACUUAUCUCUUGUAAAUUUGUUACAUGAACUAGAUAUUAAACAGCCAAAAAAGGACAGCGAUGAUAGUAUCUGUUAAGAUCCUGGUUCAUUUCACAAUAUGAAAAAGUUGAUGGGUACUUAGUAGCUUUUUUAAAAAAAUUCAUUUUAUUAUAUUAUACUAGAAAAAUGAAAAUAUUAAUACUUUCCAUUCAGAAAAGCUUAAAUGACUCGUCUCUAAUUUUGGUUUAAAGUUUUCUUCAAUUUAUUCAAGGCUCUCAAAAAAAAAAUAGAAAAGCACUGUAAUUUGCACUGCUUGACUGUAAAAUGUUUUAUGUGUUAGGAAUAGAAUAUUCUUUAAUGGGCAGGCAGAGAAUGAAAGCCAAGCCAAAUAACAAAAUCUCAUGGGUUUUGAUCACUUAGAAAAUUACAGUGAAUCAAUAUUACCUAAAAGGAAAUUCAAAAAAUUCCCAAUUGUUGAUAAUACAUGUCUCCUGGCAUACAGGGUCCAUCUUGCAGUAAAAAAUGGGCACAAUGC